CCUGCCCAGUGAUAUUUUCAACGGCCGCGGGAUCCUACACCGUGCAAAGGUAGCAUAAUCACUUGUCAUCUAAAUAAUGACUAGUAUGAAUGGCCCUAUGAGGACUUCCCUGUCUCUUGUAAUAAAUCAAUGAAACUGAUCCCCCAGUACAAAAGCUGGGAUAAAGCCACAAGACGAAAAGACCCUGUGGAACUUAUAAGUGCCAAUCAACAAAAUGACACAACCACUUUUAGUUGGGGCAACUUUGGAACAAAACAAAACUUCCAAUUACGGUAAUAAUUUAACCCAAAAUUAGGUACACACACCAACCUUUGACCAACAACUGACCCAGUAUUACUGAUUAAAGAAACAAGCUACCCCAGGGAUAACAGCGCCAUCCCCUCUUAGAGCCCAAAUCGACGAGCGGGGCUUACGACCUCGAUGUUGGAUCAGGGCCCCCAAACAGUGCAGCAGCUGUUAAAGGUUUGUUUGUUCAACAAUUAAUGCCCUACGUGAUCUGAGUUCAGACCGGA
rnacentral:rRNA from 1 species